UUACGAGGGCUCCUCCCUUCAGCUUUGGUCCCUCGGGGCGUCUGGGCAGCCUACGCUUUCCGCCCUUGGCAGCUCAGGUUCCGCGGGAGGACGUUCACCUGCUUCGCGGUCUCGUGGAGGUCCACCGCGGCGGAGAAUCCUAAACCUCACCUGUGACUCGGCAGGAUGAGCGGCCAGCACUCCCGACGGAGGCCCUCUGGGAGAAAAGAGGCCCUUGGCCUCGAGACCCAGGAAAGCAGGCUGUUCAGGAGUUGGUUCGCGCAGUUACAGCGAAAGCGCCGUGGGCCUCAAAGCCGCAGCCCGGAGGAUAAAAAUGGCAGAAUGACAGAAUUAUGAGUGGGACUAGAGAAUAGGAAAGACACGAACCAACGCCCAAAAUGAGAAAGAAGGACAUAUAAAGAAAAAGACAAAUACAAGUGAAAAAAAUAGACUAAUGGAUUAACGUCCCUGUUGUGUGACAUUUUCUGGUAUGACAGCUGAAGAUGUUGAACCCUAUGGUGCAUUUUUGCAAAUAGUGUAUGAAGUGGGUUGUAAGUUUUACCAGUAAUUGUC
rnacentral:antisense_RNA from 1 species